GAUGAACGCUGGCGGCGUGCCUAAUACAUGCAAGUCGAGCGAACAGAUGAGGAGCUUGCUCCUCUGACGUUAGCGGCGGACGGGUGAGUAACACGUGGAUAACCUACCUAUAAGACUGGGAUAACUUCGGGAAACCGGAGCUAAUACCGGAUAAUAUAUUGAACCGCAUGGUUCAAUAGUGAAAGACGGUUUUGCUGUCACUUAUAGAUGGAUCCGCGCCGCAUUAGCUAGUUGGUAAGGUAACGGCUUACCGAGGCAACGAUGCGUAGCCGAUCUGAGAGGGUGAUCGGCCACACUGGAACUGAGACACGGUCCAGACUCCUACGGGAGGCAGCAGUAGGGAAUCUUCCGCAAUGGGCGAAAGCCUGACGGAGCAACGCCGCGUGAGUGAUGAAGGUCUUCGGAUCGUAAAACUCUGUUAUUAGGGAAGAACAAAUGUGUAAGUAACUAUGCACGUCUUGACGGUACCUAAUCAGAAAGCCACGGCUGACUACGUG
rnacentral:rRNA from 1 species